GACGAACGCUGGCGGCGUGCUUAACACAUGCAAGUCGAACGAGAUUUAGUGAGUAGCAAUACUCACGAAGAUCUAGUGGCGAACGGGUGCGUAACACGUGAGGAACUUGUCCCGGUCUCUGGGAUAACAGUUGGAAACGACUGCUAAUACCGGAUGACGUCGGAACUUCGCAUGGAGUACUGACGAAAGGGUUACUGGAUCGGGAGAGCCUCGCGGCCUAUCAGCUGUUGGUGGGGUAAUGGCCUACCAAGGCAUCGACGGGUAGCUGGUCUGAGAGGAUGAUCAGCCACACUGGGACUGAGACACGGCCCAGACUCCUACGGGAGGCAGCAGUGGGGAAUCUUGCACAAUGGUCUAACGACUGACGCAGCGACGCCGCGUGUGGGAGGACGCC
rnacentral:rRNA from 1 species